CAGCAGCCGCGGGAAAACGAAGGGGGCUAGCGUUGUUCGGAUUUACUGGGCGUAAAGGGCGCGUAGGCGGGCGAAUAAGUCAGGGGUGAAAUCCCCAGGCUCAACCUUGGAACUGCCUUUGAUACUGUUUGUCUUGAGUUCGAGAGAGGUAAGUGGAACUGCGAGUGUAGAGGUGAAAUUCGUAGAUAUUCGCAAGAACACCAGUAGCGAAGGCGGCUUACUGGCUCGAAACUGACGCUGAGGUGCGAAAGCGUGGGGAGCAAACAGGAUUAGAUACCCCUGUAGUCCCUGUCUCUUAUAC
rnacentral:rRNA from 1 species